rnacentral:ncRNA from 1 species
AUGAUUGUGCUCAAAGUAAAUCAGGAUUCUUACCCUUUCCUAUAUUAGCUUUGAGCACUAAAAA